CGCAUCGCGUGGGCGGGACUUCCGGUCCCUUACUCCGGCCGGCUUUUUGGAGUUGUUGGGGAUGGCUGGCGACAGGUUGAGACGGGGGUGACAGGACGGAAUAGGGGUGAAAAGAGUCCUCCUCACGGCCUGGACGCAGGCUCGCGGCUCGCCAACGCCGCCCGGGCUGCCCGACGCCGGGGCUGGGACAAGGACUGCCGGCCCGGUGUCCGCUGCGGCCGGAGUCCGAUGGCAGCGGCUGCACGCUGGGACCCGGCUCAGAGUACCAGGACCGCAGAAGUACCGCCGGAGCCAACACAGGCAAUCCCUGGACUUGUCCUGAGUUUGCCGAGCACAUUCUUGUGCGUGGGCCGUCCCUCCGACUGCAGUCAGCGUGGACUCCUCCGCAUUUGGAUCCUUUUAGGUGGUUGGUGUAGAGGGGGCCAUGAGGAAGAGGAGUUCAGUAGGCAUGUCACAGUGCCGGACUCCAAGGCAGGUGUGGGGCCCUGGAGGCCACUCCCGUGA
rnacentral:lncRNA from 1 species